AUUGAACGCUGGCGGAAUGCUUUACACAUGCAAGUCGAACGGCAGCACGGGGGCAGCCCUGGUGGCGAGUGGCGAACGGGUGAGUAAUACAUCGGAACGUGCCCGGUCGUGGGGGAUAACGUAGCGAAAGUUACGCUAAUACCGCAUACGAUCUGAUGAUGAAAGCGGGGGACCUUCGGGCCUCGCGCGAUCGGAGCGGCCGAUGUCAGAUUAGGUAGUUGGUGGGGUAAAGGCCUACCAAGCCGACGAUCUGUAGCUGGUCUGAGAGGACGACCAGCCACACUGGGACUGAGACACGGCCCAGACUCCUACGGGAGGCAGCAGUGGGGAAUUUUGGACAAUGGGCGCAAGCCUGAUCCAGCCAUUCCGCGUGCAGGACGAAGGCCUUCGGGUUGUAAACUGCUUUUGUACGGAAAGAAAAGGCUCUGGCUAAUACCUGGGGCUCAUGACGGUACCGUAAGAAUAAGCACCGGCUAACUACGUG
rnacentral:rRNA from 1 species